CAGGAACCCAAAGGUCACUGUCAGCAUUUUAAACACCUGACUGAAACAGGAGAAGUUGCAGCCCAGCACAUACUGUGGGCCUCAAUCUAUGUGGAUCCAACAGUGUCACAGCACACACUGUGGGCAUGAAUUUAGGCAGAACCAAACAGAUGAACAAUAGAUGAACUGGAGCUACUCAAAGGAGAUCCAGGCUUGUCUGGGUGAUUAAAGCUGGAUUGGUGUUCUGUGAGCAGCUCUCCUGGACACAGUACGUGCUCAGCUAAUGGUUAAGUCUAGGAGAGAAUCUUGGGAUGGAGGAUUCAGUGACCCACCCUGUGAUGCUCCUGCUCAUGGCUAUGGAAGGACAGCUGGCCUUAGAGGACCAGGGCUGGGAAAGAAGUCUCCUAAGAGACAUUGAGGACACAGACAAAGAGUGAUCUGUGACAUUUGGUUUCUCUUCAAGUUCUGUGGGUACCAGCCAUAGUUAGGCUGUGAGGAAUCAGCUUCUCUGGGGCAGGGGUAGACUAUCAGGCCACGGCCUUGGCAGUAUAAGGGAGACACCAUCAGACGUUUUUCAGGAGAUGCUCCAAUUUCAGUUGGCCUGGUGUUUUCUCACUUUAGGUUUAGGAGGUAGUGACCAGGGGAAGGCAACAUUCUCCUCACUUCUUACCAAGGUCCAGACCGACUCAGGAUCCGUGACUAUGCUUGGCUACCUGGCUGAGAGGAGUAAACAUAGAGGCUGCUGAGAGUCACCCUUAGACAAGCCAAACAGUAAAAGCCUCCCAGACAAACUGCCUGGAAGAACCAGUGGCCUGUUGAGCUGCCCAGAAGAAACAAAGGCCUGAGGAGCUGUCUGGAAGGGACACUCUCCAAUCUAUUGAGCUGCCUGUAGGGUAUAUAUGGACUCUAGGUUCCCAGCUUCUGUGAGCUGUCACCCAUCUGGGGUGUGCUUUGGUGACAUUUUGAUUUGGUGCUGAUUUUGAGUCAUUUCUGUUUCUGUAAGUAGUAACCCUUAAACCAUAUUCUUACAUGCAAGCCCUAUAAAACUCAUUGGUUCUCCAAGCUGGACUUUUGUGGUAUCUGUAUUUUGACUCUUAACACCUUCCUACCUGGGGUGAAUAGAUGUUCACAUCUCCCCAGAAAUUGUGUGUGUGUGUGUGUGUGUGUGUGUGUGUGUGUGUGUGUGUGUGUGUGAGUGUGUGUGUGUGUGUGUAGUGAGUAGUGAAACUCACUAGAAGAGGCAGAGGGCUCAGAAGUUUCCUUCAAGUGCUUCUUGAGAAAGUUAACCAUAUCUCCUGGGCAUCAAGCCUCACCCCAACAUAUUUUUAGCUACAUGCUUCCAGUGAUAGAUCAUAAUUCAUCCUAUAAAACUUCAUAAGGAGGAAGUGAACCACCAUGGCCCACAUGCUCCAGUAUGCUGCUUGUAGAACUGGUUUGCCACGAACACAUGAGCUUUUUCUGCACAGAGAGGAUCAUGGGUCUUCCCAAGAGCAGCAAGUGACAGCA
rnacentral:lncRNA from 1 species